GUUCUGAAUUAUUAUGUUGGUUCCAUGGUGACUGCACACACAGGUUUGCCCAAUAAAUGUGAUCUAAAUGUGGCCAAUGGAGAGGAUCGAAGUAAAAUGUUUACAUGUAAAGCUAGAGUUACGGGAGGUGGACAAUGAGAUGGACAAACAUAGUGCUCAUCGGUAGAAUUGAGCGGACACCUGGAUGUUCGGGUUCACUAGGUUCGGCCGAAUUUCGGC